rnacentral:lncRNA from 1 species
AAAAAAAUUAAUUAAAAGUAUAAUUUUUUUUUUCUAAAGCGGGUAUUAGUCAACAAGUCUCACUGGAAACUAAUAUCUCUACUUUCUCUGAAAAAAUUUUCGAUCUCUCUCAAUCCACCUCUUUCGCUCCUCCAUCCGAAAUCAAAACCAUCUCAUCGACUCCCUUCUCCACCGUAGGCAUACCUUCUCCCUCUCUUCCAUUUGCUAGAGUUCUCGCCACUGGAAUCUAAGUCUAUCUCAUUCCUAUCAAAGUUCCCUCUUCAUUUUAUCCUUUUUAACAUAAAAAUGGUUAGGUCCUGCCUUUAGCGUUUUGGAUUAUAUACAAAAAAGCGCUGUGAGAUAUUUGCAAUAUUUAUCAUUUAGAGUAUGGGAUUUGCAAUGUUUAUUUUUUAGAGCUGAAAAUUUUUUGGUGUGCAAACUAGUAGCUGAUUUAAGAUUGUUGUGACAAGAUAGAUCUCAUACACUGGAUUUUUUUUUCUUACAAAAAAUCGAAGUUCCAAAGAAAAGUGGCUUAAGGCAUAAUGUAAGGGGUGGCCUUCUACCACAUGGCCCUGGGGGUUGUUAGUAAAUCUGAAUGGUUCUGAAAUCCUUUAACGAUUUUUCUUAGGGAUGAUGAUGUUGUUCUUUUACCUAUGAGCACAGAAGUAGUAAGAAAGCUUGACUAUUGCAAUCUAUUAUGUGCUUUUUUUUGGUACAUCGGCAAGUUGCCCAAAAAGUCAGAAAGUAAAAAAGACCGCAAGAGAGACGGGAUAGAGGCCAGAUCUUUCCAGAUAAAAUCAAUGGAGUGAUAAACCGCAUAGGAUGCCACCCAGUCUACUGCAUUGUUGGCCUCUCUAUAAACAUGAGUAGCUCGAUGGGAAGCGCAUUCGCUUAAAUACGACGAAUAUCGUGGAUCAGUUGCAACCCCCCUCAGCACUCCCAGGAUCCUGGAUCCCCUCAAUCACCAUAACGGAGUCCCCCUCAAGGAUAAUGCGGUCCGCUCCCAACAUCCGUCUCGCAUAGGAGACGCCCUCCCAGGUAGCUCUGAGCUCGUGUGCCUUUAAGAUAUUCUAAUCCCUUUCUAUAUAAUGAUACAUGCCCUCAUAUAUAUACAUUUAUAACAAUAAAUAUUAUGUGCUAGUUUUCGAUGAAAUAACAUAUAGUGGUUGUUAUAAAUAAAAAAUAAUGAAGUAUAAUAAUCUUAUGAUUAGUGAAAGAACUUUCAUUACUCUUUUUCGAGCAAUAUUUUUACAGAAAAAACUGAGGAGCAGGCAUUAGACUAAUCUAAGUGUUAAAACAAGUUGAAAUAGAUAAAAAUAAAAUUAUAAUUUUUUACAUGUAAACCCUACAAAAUAUGUGAAAUAGCAUGAAUACCCUUCCAAAGUUGCUAUUUACAUGUCUACCUUUAUAAAUAUUUUUUUUGGCAUAUCUACCCAUUAAGAAUAUUUCAGUUAUUUUCAAUUUUAAACUGCUAAUUUCUUAAUAAUGUUAGAUGGUGUGGGUGCAUAUAUAAGAAAAAAAAUGAUAUACAUAUAAAACAAGUUUUGUAAAGUUAUAUAUAUCAAUAUUAAUUUGGAAGGAUAUUCAUGCAAAUUCCAAUAUUUGGGAGAGUAUGUACGCAAGAAAACCCAAAAAAUAAGAAUAACUUUGAAAAAUCAAUUUUGUUUCUCAGCAAGGAGUAUCAAUUAUAUCUGUGUUGAUUAUUUUACAUAUAAAGGUACACAUCUGAAGCUUUUUGUCUUGUAAUUUUAAUUUAAUUUGCAAAAAAGUUGAUUAGAAAGCCAGAUAUUACCUGACCACCAAAUUGUAAUUACUCAAAUUUUGAGAGGCAAUUUGUUAACAUCAGCAAGGCCACAAUCCCUAGGGCAACUUUGUUAACAUUAGUAAGGCCACAAAAUGAUUGUAAAUGUGAGAGGCAAUGCCACCAUGCAUGUAACGUAGCAUUCUAGAUAGGGAAGCGAUAACAUGGCUGUCCUCCGUGUUUGUCCCUGAUCCAAUUAUUGGUAAUAUUUUCUUUUUAGAACAAUAAUUUCGGAAAAGCUCUCAACAUGAUGGCAGUAGCUCUUUAUUUUAUUGUCACUAUGGCCUCGUAAGAGCAGAUUUCCCUUUUGAAAGGAAAGAGUUUCGUGUAUAAAAGGAUGGCAUCAAUACUUCAGAGACUCGCAGCAUGCAAAAUAGAUUGCAAGGUCAAAUUGCAUUAGUGCAGUUGAUCUACAAGGGUUCAUCAUUGCCAAGCUUUUUCCAACUUGAAGCUGUUGGAGGUCGCAAAAGGAAUUACAGAAGUUAAUCCCUGAAAGGUCAAAUCGCAUUUAGUGCAGUUCAUCCUUGAAAACACCUGUAAAAGGACUUAGUGCAGUCCAUCGAGUUUCAACGCUGUUCAGCAUAAUUCACCUGAUCAUACAUGUGAUUUGCAUCCUAUCUUAUGAUUGUCUUCUACAGCUGCAUAUGUAGUUUUGGGAAGAAAUAUGCUAGAGGUAAGAGGAGGCACAAUCACUUCAAGCUGGCAACCAACAAUUGCAACAGACAAACAGGUAAGCUAUGUCAAGUGGAAGCUGAUUGCACAAUACUUGAUUGCCCCUUGAUAACUGGAAGAGAGUCGCCUCAGAAUCUAGUGACCCAUCGGGGGCGGUGGGGGUGGGCGGACACCUAGGCCUUGAAUCUGCUGCCCAGGAAAGCCAUGUGGAGGAGGCCGAGGAGCAGCAUGGAUGCCCAGGGUGAAGUUAGCCAUUGCGCCGCUUCCUGCAGGUGGAGGUGGUAUUGGUCGCGAAGGACCGUUAGCCACCGGUGGUGGAGGCGGGGGCUGUGUGCCUGUCAUAGGCGGAGGUACUUGUGGUGGCGGUGGUGGCGGCGGUGGUGCUUGAGGUGGUGGGGGUAAUGGUCUCGGAGGAACACCAGGAGCUGAAGUGCCAUUGGCCACCGGUGGAGGUGCUGCCUGAGGUUUAUUACCUUCUGGUGGCUUGACCUUGAAAUACAGCUGCAGCUGUAGAUGACACCAAGAGACAUGUAAUUUCAGAUACUCGGUUAAAUGUAAGUAAUUGCAGUAAGGAAAUAAAAAUCAGACAGUAAGAAGAUUCAGGGCCAACAAACCGUGAACAUUUUUAGAUCUGGAUCCCAAUGUGAAAAGAACUUUGGUGUGGAUUUAUCAAUCUCAGUGCUAGGAACCUAGAAAGGAAUAAAGUAAGAUAAUAAUACAGAGACAACAAUUAUUUCUGGUGGUGUACGUUAUAGGAAAAAACCUUGAAGGCAAUGAUUUCAUAUGGUUCAGCUGCAAAUAGAAGAUACUGGUAUCUCUUGUCACAGGCUUGGACCCUCUGCCACAAACAAAAACAAUGAACUUAAAUCAUGUUUCUCCAAAGAAAAUUGAAUAGGUUAAGAAAAUUGAUGCAGCUGCAUAUAUAGAAGGUAAGCCAGCUCAGCACAUCACAUCUUUGUUCAAUUGAAUCAAAUUAACCAAAUAGAGCUACCAUAAUACAGCUAGAAUUUACCUGCUCAAAGGAUGACAUGAAUCGGUGCCUUGGCUUAGCACUAUCUUCAAUUUCCGGAUAUUCAAUCUGAAACGGCAUUCAACUGAUUUAAGUAUGUCCACUGAUGUAUAGUAAUGAAAGCUAAAACAAUAAAGACAAUUCUUUUUUCUAAGUAACUUGCCUACUGACACGAUAUUACAUGCAUCAGCACUUUUAUCUAGUGUAAGAACAGCAUAUUCAUCGCUAUAUCUAAAAAUUAAUGGCUUGCCACUCAUAAUAAAUAUGAUAUAUCAGAAGUCAAUCCUUGAGAAACAUAAUCUAUAAAAAAAUAAUUGAAGAAUAAAAAAAUUAAAUACUGUGUGGCACUAUGAUUAGAGAAAAACCCCUAGGUUAAGAGCAUUCCUUGCUCAGGAAGAGUACUCACAUCCCUAUGAUACAAAAUGAGGCGAUUAUAGAUCGCCUAAACUGUUUCCAGAGAAAGAAACCUCAAUCAAGGUGGACUCAGGAAUGGAGACAUACUAUGCGGUGAAGAACCAGUCUGAGGUCCAACAAGAGUGCAAUAUCUAAUUAUCCUCAUGUUUGUUCCCGUGCUCUUCUCCUGAAUAAGAUAAUAUCUUCUAUUAAUAUGAACAUAUAGGUUUUUUAUAUUUCCCAUCCAGUGCAAAAUGCACCAACCGAGGCAUCCAAGAAAGAAAUGGAUCGCAUUAACAUGAUAUGUACUUGGCCCAAAAUUUUGGACUGUCAACCUUCUUGUAAUCAACAGUUUAGUAACAGAGUAUGACUUCGUAAGAAGUCAUUACAUGAUUUUAAAGCUUUCCAUACAAAAGGUUACUGUCUAAUAAUAUUAGAAUCCAGCAAAAUAGGGAAAAACCAUGGGUAUCUUAACACAACUUUGCAAUGAUAAAGUAAAAGAUCUAAUAGUCUAAUAUGUGAUGCAAUCCAUACUUGAUACAAAAAACUCAAUAAUCAGAGUUGCUGACUAAAACUCUUCAAAUCCAAAGCCCCUUCCAGAGAGAACUAAAAACUUAACCGGCUACUAACUCAUGUAGCUUAAAUGUUCCUUGGAGGCAUUAAUCUUGCACAAACUUCUUGUGGAACUGAUAUAAAAGAAGUGGAGGAAGUAGCUGAAGCAGCAAAAAGGAAGAUGAAGAGUUGAAACAAGUAAAAGAGGAGAAGAAAAGCCAUACACACAUCUGUAAAAGAUGCACAAGCCCUCAAAACCAAACAUGCAAUGAGAUUGCACUCUUCGGAGAUAGGGCUCAAAGUCUAUAAACUUAAGGUUUUGCUCUUUACUCUUUAAAUCCACCAAUAUUUUCAUAUGAAGAUUUGCAGACAACAAAAAUAUAUAAAGGGCAGCCUAGUGCGUGAGGCUCCUGCCUGUGUUUGGGAAGCAUCAGGUCUAUACAGCCUUACCGCACGUGCAGAGAGGCUACUUCAGUGUUUUGAACUUAUGAUCUCUAGGUCAUAGUGAAGCAACCUUACCAUUGCACCAAAGCUCACCCAUAUGACAACAGGAAUAUAUAAGAAAAAUGAAAAUGUUUUAGCCUUAAUAACUUCAUAAAGGCAAGAAACUUAUAUUUCCAGAGUACAUGUCAUGACAUUGACACACUGUACAAUAAAUCGUCCCAGCAACAUGACUCUUUUCCUAUGAGGAAUAUUACUAAACAUGUACAUCAAGGAUUAAACUAACGUUUGUGCCAACAAUGCUGUGCUGUGUCUUGCCACGCUUGUGUUAGCACUGAGCAAGCAUGUGUACCAUAGGGUAGAUACAUAGGGUAUUAACCCAUGCCAGUUCAGCACAGGCUCAUAUGGCUCCGUACUGCUGGUACUAAGCUCAUAAGGCAUGUCCCAUGCUAGUCAGUAUGCACAUUGGUACUAGCACUUGUAUAUUUAAUCUGAGAUGAGAAAAAACAUGCAGUUAAUGUGAGAGAUUGAAAUCAAUCACAUUGUCACAAAAUAUUGCAAACUAAACAUAUUCAAGACAAAGUAAUACUUACCAAAAGGACUAGAAACCAAAUACUUAGCAAAUAAUUCCACUAAAUAAGACUGCAAAAAUAAUAUAUGCAAACCUGGAACAGAAGAGAACGCUGCUUAGUCUCAGAAUCAAAUUGCUUCGUUACCCUAUAUCCAGGUCUGCCAAUCUUAACUGCAUCCAUAGAAAGACAGAUUAAGCACCAACAAGAAGCAAGGAAAUCCACACAUACACACAUACAAAAAGAGAAGCACGUGCACAUGCAAUGAAUAAGCUUGAUAUCAAGGUUUCAGUUACAGUGGGAUGGGAGCAUCCUAGGUUUUCUUUGGAACAAGAUGCCCGCGUACCAACACUCGGGACAGUAGAUGUCCCAUCCCAUCCCAGUCCAUUUUCCGAAUCAUCCCAUGCCGACACUGGGGAAGGUGCUCCAUCCUGAUUCUUGGGCAGCUGGGAUGCCCUGCCAUCCCACCAGAAUCGACAAGCUUGCUUGAUAUUACAAAUGCAUUGUGACAUAGCUAUGCCCAAGUGACAAAUGUAUAACAACCAAUCAAAGUCAAGAAUCCACUCGAUCCACUGCAUGUGGAUGCAAUUUCAAGUGCCUGAAUACAUUUUAUUCACAGACUAGACCUUGACAAGUGCGCUGCAUGUGAUUGAAAAUGAAUGGAUAUAAUCAGAUCAUCUCUUUACUAUCAAAAUGAAUAACUAUGACCAGACUAUCUAAUUAGAUUUUCUUUUAAAAUUUUUGGGAGUUCAAAUUUGUUAAGAGAGAAAGAGAAAGCCGUUUGAUGAUUAAAGGAGAGUGUCCAUUUGAGAUUUCUUCUGAGAGAGAGAGUGUGUAUGUUAUGCAUUGAGAGUCCAAUUACUUGCUUUCUGUCCCAACUGAUUAAAGAUAGUUUAUUUAUUGCAACUCUUAAAAAAGGGCACCUUUCUUGUGAUUUCUGAGUUCGAAAAUAAAAGCCUGUUUCUUUUAAGAGUCCAAUUGUAUUUUCCCAUUUUAAUGUUGAUGGUCUUUCCUUGCACAUGAUGUGCGAUCACACAUGAGCAGGCACUUAAAGUCUGACAAUCAAUCAUUCAUGCAUUCUCUUUAUAUAUAGUAAGAGACAAAUAACACAGAUAAAACUAAUUGAUUUAUUUUGUUAUCAGAUAACAAUAUGAUUCAUGAAUAUGUAAUGCAUAAUGUGUAAACCAUCAAGGGGGUGUAUUGACUUAAAUUUGGCCACACCAGGUCAUAACAUGAAGGUGUAGAAAUAUGCAUUGAAUUUGUCCACUUGGAUUACAAUACGCACAAGGUGCAGUAGAAGCAUACGACCCUGGCACCAUUUGCCUUAAAGGGCAUUUCCAGCUAUCUAACUUGUGUGUCAAAUGCUUUCAGAUACAUUUGAUGCAAUAGUGCAACGACCAAACACCCUUUAGAUCAUUGUGUUCAACAAAAGAAAUAAUUAAAGGUGCACUGAUCAUUUUACAACUUUUUAUUUGCUGUACAAAACAUAUCAUUUUUAGACAUAAUAGUGAAACAAGAUUAAAAAAAAAGUUAAAUACCUUAGCAUACAUGCAACUAAUCUAGAUUAACAUAAGAAUCAAUGACCAGUGUACACUCCUAGAUAUAUAAUAAUGAAUGCUCUUCAUAAAUAUUAUGAACCACCUUGAACACAAUUAGAUUACCCCCCACCCACUUUAUUUCUUUUGGAGGGAGAUUGCAAACCAGCUAACCUUGUGUAGAAGUGAAAGAUCAACACAAUUAAAGUAGUACAAUGAAUUAAAAUAUUUGCCAAAAGGCAUCUUAUAUGAAAGACAGAUCAUAUUAAACUGAUUUUGCAGAAAUUUUACUCAUUGGAUAGUUUCACAGGACUCGAAGUUUGUAGAUGGAUAUAAAACUAUAAAUCAAUGUAGAGAAUUAGGCUAUGGAUUAUAUUUUAAACACAUAAAGAAACUAUAUUAGGAAUGAAAACUAUUAGCAUAAAAUAAAAUCUGGAGCACAACUUCUCAGAAAAAUGACUUGAAAUCCAUAUCUGAUUAAUACAAUAAGAACGAAAUUGCUACACGCAUCAUGAAGAGUCUAUCUGAGUCCUACUUAAAGAAAAAGAAGAAAAACAAACUGAUGGAUUGCUAGAUAUUCCCACAGAUGGAUUUAAAUCAUCAAGUUGCAUCACACGAUUGGUAAGUACAGAUGGGCAACAUGAACUUCAUGCAGCUGGAAACUUUGAAAGGGAAUGGUGUAUCCUGUGCAAAACCAAUUCUCAUGAAAGCAUAUCAGCAUAUUAUUUUCCUGAUACAAAGCUAGAACAGUUGAGUUAUAUUCCAUCAUGUACAGAAAAACAAGAAAACCUAAGCAUGAAGGAAAUGCCAUAAAUGUUUUCUCUUCUUCUUUUUUUUCUUUUUUGUUUGUGGGGUGGAGGAGGUCAUUGAGCAAUUUGAUUUCUCCAACGCCUGAAUAAGUGUCAUAAAUUUGAGCCUAAUGAGGUGGAUAAAGUCUAUAAUGGAACAGAUGAAGGAAAUGGCUUUCAUAAUUUUCCUUUGUUUGUUUUGGUAUUGACAAAUCAAAAGCGAGGAAAGGGUCUUAAAUCUUUUAGUUGUUGAGAAAUAUAAGACGUUGAAUCUAAGAACAAUGGAAAAUUUACUUGAUUUCAUCAGAUGGUCAUUUUUUAGCUUAUGAUCAUAAACUAACAAAAAGAUCAUAAGCAUGACCUAAUCAACACUGUACCAUCUAUGCAAAGCUGACUUCAGAAACAAUGAGCCUAUAAAUACAAUCAAGGAACAAGUACUUGUUUCAUAGAAUAUUCUCACAACCAAGGGCUCAAAUACUGCUAUCAAACAGCGUACAUUUUUCCAUAAGAACAGUAUAGUAUUUGUACCAUAGUGGUACCGACAGCAAGCAUUGAAACUGACAGAUUCUAAAAAAUUGAGAAACCACUGAUACUGAGUGAUACACACUGACAUAGCCAGUAAAUACCAGCGGCACAGCUGUUUCGACAUCCCAAGACUUGUAUAGAUGCAUGUUUUGUGCUAGAAUGAUACGGUACCGAUCACACAGCAGUUUAUGAAAUCACACACACAACUUAAUACUAACCUCCUUAGCUCUUUACCUCUUUCUGCUCUAAUCUGCCCUCCUUACUAUUUCUUCCUCGAGUCUUCAUUGCCCAUAGCCAAAUUACAAUUGAUUCUUCACUACUUUGACCAUUAACAGCAAAUUCACUUCAAGGAUUCUCCUAAUGUAUCCAUUUCUUCUUUAAAACCUCAAUUAGCAACAGAAGAAAGCCAAUCAUUACACACUAGAAGGCCUAACAAAGAACUAACCAAUUAGAACAAUGGAAAAUUACAAUUGAUUCUUCACUGCUUUGCCCAUUAAUGGCAAAUUAACUUGAAGGAUUCUUCUAAUGUAUCCAUUUCUUCUUUAAAACCUCAAUUAGCAACAGAAAAAAACCAAUCAUUACACACUAGAAGGCCUAACAAUGAACUAACCAAUUAGAACAAGGGAAUAGUUUCAUCCUUGUCAGCUAGCUUAGCAUACUUCCACCUCAAAAUUCUCAUCCAUUAUUAUUGCUGAACAUCCAAAGUUCAAGCACUAAAAUCAGAGUGCAUGACAUAAAGUAAAACAAUCACAUACUUCAACAUUCUUUGUAUGGCAUGAAUGUAUUCUUUUAAUAAAAGACUUGAUAAAUUAACCUCAACCCACUACUCUUCAUUUAAAAGAAGCCAAUAUGCAUUUUAAAAAUCUAGAAGUUGAAUUUAACGAUUCAAGCCUUGUUCACACAACCUAGUGGAUAUUGAAAAAAUAGCUAAAAGAUUUAUAAGCUGUUAGAUGAUUGUUUAUGCAAGAAAUGAAUACAAGCAUAACCAUGCCAACAAGCUUGCCUCAAGAUAUCAUGUCACCCUCAUAUAUAAUUCAACUCAAGUGCAAAUCCUUAGGCAAGCCUUUUCAAAUCAUUCACUAUUCGUAACCAAUUCUAACCAACUCCUUGAGGACAGUUCUUCUUGCACUUAUUUCACAAACAUUCAAGUCCAUUCUUGUUGCUUCCUCUUGUAUCUAUUAAUCAUAGCACUGUCACUGCAAGCAGCUAUAACCAUAUUGCCCCACUGAUGGUGAAAGAACUACAGAACUUCUGAAAUGCGGAGUACCAAAACCAACUCAACACAAAAAUGAGAAACUUUACACCAAUCAUUUAGGUCGGCGGAACCGGUACCGAAAUCUGUAUCAAUUGCCCGAUGGUACAUUAUGGUAUUGUGCUGUGCCGACUCGUGGAGUACUGACAAAGAGGAGCCAAAGAGGGAAGAGGAGAGGGAGAAGGAAAGAGAGGAAGAAAGAACGGGAGGGGGUGGGUAGGAAAGGGAAGAAAGUAUGGCGGGAGAGGGAGAGAGGCUGACAGAGGAGGAGAGAGAGGCCGACAGAGGGAAAGAAGGCUUUUGAGCUCUCUCUCCUCAAGCCAUUGCGUAAUAAGGGCUCUUGCCCCUUUUUUCUUUGAUUUUCUUUUUUAAAAGUGAAGUUGGCAAUCGUUGCCUCCCUCCCUCCCUCUCCCUCCCUCUUUUCCUCUCUUUCCUUCUCCCCCUCCCCCUCUCUCACCGGUUUCUCAAACUGAGGGGCCAAACCAUCUUGGUCCGCCUCUAGUAUGGCCCAAUACGCUUCGAAUCAGACAGUUUGAAACGGUACCACCUUCUUGGCCAACCAUAGAGCUACCCGACAAGCCAACAGAUAUAAUUGAUUCAAUAUUAUAUCCGUAUUUACUAGUCUUACAUCAUGCUCUAGUUGUGGUCUCUAUGACUCAAGAACUAUGACAAAUUCAUCACUGCUAAUAUUACACCAUUAAGACUUAAAAAUGGAGCACACAAUUCCAAUGAAAACAAAUGACAAACUUCAACUUUCUUUCCAUGGCACCAUUGGCAAAAAAAUUGAUGAGAUUGAACAUUUUAUGAAAAACAGCAACCUAAUAGGCUAGGCAAAAUGAUUUACUAUUUAAGCAAUACAUAUUUAAAUGUUAAGUGGCUGUUUUAGUCGACUUAGAUUACAGAAGUCCACAAGAAAGUUUAGCACAAAAAGUUCGUAGAUGGUAUAGCAACUUAAUCACCCUAACGUUCAGUAUUUCUUAAAAAAAUUGGCAUGAUUAAAACAUAUUAAUCAGCAUCUCUUAUCUAGACAUAAUGCUUUGAUAGUGUUUUCACUUUAUCUAAGGGUUCUACAUUUCAUGUUACCACAUAACCUUGGAUAUGCUGCACACAAAGUGAGAGUGGCUCUUUGCACUAUAUGCACCUAAUUCUAGCCUUCACAUAUGUCCUAUCAACAAAAACUCUCUUAUACCACCAUUUGCCUGCCUAGGCCAUACAUAACCUUCCUUUGUGUAGCUUAUGAGCCAACCUCAACGCUGGUCAAACUUGAGCUUGGCCAAAAUUGCUGGAAGGCAAAACAAGCUUGGGCAAGGCACAAGUCUGCCCAAAACAGACAAGUGCGAGCAUAAGCUUAGAGAUAAAAGGAGUGCUGGGUACAAUUAGUGAAUUGUCCGAUCUGGCAACAGGACAACAACAAUAGUCAAUAUGAUGACUAGAUUUGGUGCAAGGAAGAAACCAUGCUCAGGGUUGUGGAAAACAAUGGCUACGGUAAUAUCCAAUGUCAAUGAGGGGAGUGAAGGAGAAAUGGAGAGAAAAGGAGAAGAGAUGGAUGGGACAAGGAUUAGGUUUAGAAAAUUUAUAUAACUAUUGAAGAUAGAUUUUUAGAUAGAUGACAUAUAAUCAAAAUUGUUCCUGAUGCAAAUGACUACAGGGCCAAUACAAGGUCAGCCCACGCCAAGCACAAAUUCAAUCCGAGCCGAGAUUUUUUGCAUGCACCAGCCCUACAAGCCUUGAGAUCAUGGGUUCAUUAAUAGCCCUACCGCUCUAUGUCUCGUUUGUUUUCUUUUUCUUUUUAUUUUUUCCCAUGUUUAUAUUUAUAAUUGAGCAACAUUUUAUUCUCAUUCCAUAUUGCAAUAAUAAGCAAUAAUAAUUUUUGUAUUCCUAUUCCUAAUUAUAUAUAUGUAUGUAUGUAUGUACUUAUGUAUGUAUAUAAAAUCUCUGGAAAAGUCCUUUCAACCUUUUGACUCCUUUAGUCAAUGAUCAUGUUACACCUUCUAACUAAUUUAAUAAUAGCAUCUGUUAUNNNNNNNNNNNNNNNNNNNNACACCGUCGUGUCAAUCGUUCUCGGUUUGGACCACCAGCAACAGCAUCUAAUUGCAUUUCAUAUUUUUAUCUAUAAUUCUUAUUUUGCAACAAUCUACUUAUUUUCAUAAAUAAAUGUCAUGUAUCUACUAAAAGAAAUUUUAAUAGUCUUUGUUUAAUAACUAAAAUGUUCAAUACUUCCACAUUAAAGAGCAAUAUGCAACCAGUUUACCAUCUCAACUAGUAUGCUUAAAUCAGUAAGCUUUAACAAUCCAAUAAUCAAAAACACCUAGAUACCAUAAUAUAUUAGUAGUUAUGCUACUAAAUAGUCUGAGAGACAAAAAGAAAAUGCGAAGCACCUUCCUAGGGAUCUUACUGGCUCACUUAUAAUGUUGAACUACCUUCAUGAGUUGUGUGCAUAAGGAUCAAUGCAAAUUACAAGCUAACGUUAAGUUUAACAAGAUAAGCAAAUAUCAUUCUUUCAUUUUUAAAAUCCAGAAUGCUGCAGAUUUCUUUCCAAUGAUGAAGAAAUGGAUCAACACAAAAAGAGCGCAAGCUAAUAUCAUGAGAGACCUAGUAGAUAAUAACUCAAUAGUCUUGGGUGCAACAUUUAACAUAAUGGCGGCAUGGCUAGGUCGUCCUACCAUUCUGAGUGUCAGGGCGGUGCCACUGAGUGUCAGGUAAGGGCAAGUCAGGAAAUGGACUGGAUCGGGAAGGGACAAGUCAAGUGUAGGCAUGGGAAAUAUCUUGUUCCAAAAAAAACUAGAAUUGCCUAGUUCCAUGGUUUUAAACCUUGCUUGGAUGUCUAUACUAGGUGCAAGAGCAAAGAAAUGAAACCGCUAAAUUUUCAACGAUAACAUGGUGAGAUUUAAUGAGAAAAUGUAACAUUUUUACCAAAUAACUGAUAAAGGAAUUAAAUAUAUGAAAAUUGAGCCGAAAAGAUUAUAAGUUCGGAUGACUUAUUAUAUUAAAGAUGCUAGAAAAAUUCUUGAAGUCAAAAAUGUUAAAAGCAUGCACAAAAUGAAACUUGGUGAUCAAAUGAUAAGUUACAAGAGGUAAUCAAGGUAAUUGUUUUCUUCAAACAAUAUCAAAAAAAAAAGAAAAUAUCAAUUUUGUAGACAAAAUAAGAUCAGGAAAGAUUCAAAGGACUAGUAAGUAAAGCUAACUAUAUAGCAAUGUGAUAAUUUAGCUUGAAACAUAUAAUUCAAAGGAAGGUGAGAAUGAAAUUGAUACAAUUAGCCAAAAUGAAAAGAUGAAUCAAGAAAUACUAGUCGAUUUAGAUGCAUUAAAAGUUAAGACAUUCGAAGUCAGAUGAUUAGGUCAAACAAAGAUGGAAAGGUUAUGACUAGACAUUGUUAAACAAGGAUUCUAUCAGAGAAAAUCGUACAAAAGAUAUAAUACGCAAUUUGUCAAGUUUGUCUUGCUCAAUACUAAAAGAAUAGCUUUUAAAAGGAUGCAACUGGGAAAUGUGCUUAGGCUAGAUGAAAAUCAUUUGAUGUUUGGAUACAUCAAGGGAGAUGUAUCCAAACAUUAAAAAAAAAAAAUCAGAUAUACAGAUUUUUGGCCAACUAGUUCACAAAAUACAGAUUUAAACAUUUAAAGAGAAAGAAAAAAAUCAGAUGAUUGCAGAAGUGUCAUAGUACCCAUUCAUAAGAAAGAUGUAUGGAAGUGCCCAAACUAUUGUGGUUAAACUAUUGUAAACGGUGAUAAAACAAAAAAUUACUAAAAGUUUGACAAUCUUAGAUAACCAAUUUGGUAUCAUUACAGGAAGGUCUAUAUGCGAGGCUAUCUUCUUGUUUGCAAUUAAUAAAAAGACAUAUAGAAUAAAUAAACAUUCUAUAUUGUCUUGAUCAACUUGGGAGAAAACUUAUCAUUAAGUACCAAAAGUAAUUUGGUGGGAUUUAAGAAGGAAAGGUAUACAUAGGAGAUGUAUUAGAAUUACAAGGACAUGCAUGAUUGAAUAAUGAGAAGCAUUAAAAGCUAGUAUGGAAAGAGUCAGUAACAAUGAGCAUACACCAAGGGUUAGCACUAGCAUAUCUUUUUAUACUCAUAAGAUGUAAACAUACUUUUAAUAUUUAAAAGAAUAGUUCAUGGUUUACCCAAUCUAUAGAUGAUAUAGCAUUGAUUGAACAGAAGGCAAUAAGAUGAUAAGGACUUAAAUCAUCAAUAGAAUAAAAAUAGAGCAAUUUUUUUAAGCAAUCUCGAGUAUUUUACAGUGUUACAACCGUCGGAGAUGCAUUUGACCAAAUCACAAGUACUUCCUUUCUCUCAUGGUGUCUCCUAUCAAAUCAGUUCAUACAUCACCAAACUCUAAUUAUCAAACUCUCUCAGAAUUAAAACCUUCUUCAACAAUUAAGGGUCUGUUUGGAUUUUUCUACGAGAUUUGUCUGAAAAUCCUGUUGGAUUCAUGGAUGGGGCCAGCACAACCAGCAAGAUCACAGGCCACAUGCUAGAUUAGGCUUGUAUUUAUAAAAUAUCCAGAAAUAGCUUUGAAGUAGGCCGACCUGAAUGCCAUAUGGAGAAAAAAGAGACCUACUAAGAUUUUUUUUUCCCUUAUAGGAUUCGGACCGGCCUACUUCAAAGCUAUUUUUGGAUAUUAUGCCCAUCCCAACCUACAGCCUGCUAUCUUGCUAGUUGUACUAGCCCAAUCCACAAAUCCUACAGCCCUAUUCUGUAGAGAAAUCGAAACAAGCUUUAAAAGAGGAAAAAAUCAAAUAUUUCAAAAUACAAAUCUCACUUAAGGCAGUAUUCAAUUAUCAAACCAUGGAUUUGACCCUCAUUACCCACCAACAUAAACUCGGAAGAUCAGACACUGUAGCAUUCAUGUGCUUAAAAAUAAGUGACCAAAUUCAGUAGGAAUAAACUAUCUUAUGUUUGGGAGAAAAUAGGAACGCAUUAAAAAGAUUCAUGCCGAUCUAUUUUCGACCUCACAAGUGAAGAAACAACCAAAAAAAGCAAAUCUUUAAGUGCUUUUUACUCAUUCUUCCACUCCAGCAGANNNNNNNNNNNNNNNNNNNNNNNNNNNNNNNNNNNNNNNNNNNNNNNNNNNNNNNNNNNNNNNNNNNNNNNNNNNNNNNNNNNNNNNNNNNNNNNNNNNNNNAACAUACCAGUCUUGCGGACGGAGACCUUUCGCUUGUGGGGCUGGGGCUGGGCGGGGGCGUCCUUGGCCUCGCGGGCAGCUCUCUUGGCGAGGUUGGUCUGGUGGCGCUUCCCCUGGGUAUGGGCCAGGUAGUUCCCCUCGUUGUUGUGGAGCGUGAGGCAGAGCUUGCACUCAUAGCUGCCAAAAGAUUCACAGCAUCAAACGAUGAGGAGAUCUGAUCCACUAGGGCAAGGGCAAAGUUCUAGGGUUAUGGUGAGGGUUAGGAUUAGGGUGAGGGUUUGGGAGGAGGAGGUACCUGCCGAGGUGGUUCCGCAUGAAAUAGGGGUCCUUGGCAAGGUCGAUGGUCUCUAGGGCGAGCCGCCGGAGACGCUCCCGGCGGUCGAUCGCCUCGUUCUGGGCGGAGGCGGCACCGCCGCUCCCCGGCUUCGAUCCCCAGUCCCGAUCCAUUCUUUCCUUUCACUCACCGCUUCCUCUCCCUCGCGCUCGUGCAAGCGCACACUGGGUAUAUGUCUAACAAAAUCCUGAUGCUAGGGUGAAUCAUGGCCAUUCAUCCAUUGGGGUGUCGUCACGUGUCGCACGUGCCAAAUACUUUUCUUUUUAAGAUACUAAUCUAACGUCCCAUCCCUCCCCAGCAUGGCCGUUCGCAAUGUUUUCAGAGCCUCAGUUCCCUGAUUUGGCUUUUGAAUCCAUGCUUACAACCGCCCUAAAUGCUAACUGAAUGUCUUCAGACUUCAAUAGCCAUGAAGGCCUAGGAUUAGGAAGAGCCUGCCCAGGUUAAGAGUGUGGAUGCUGCUUAACAGAGCAAUCUGAAUAGGGGUAUUAUGGGAAUUAAAAAGUUAGGAAGUUCCCAAUUUUAUAGUGUUUGGAUGGAUUAGGGGACUGAUCCACCUGGAUCAACAAAAGAAUACCUUAACUCUACUAACAUGUAAAAUGAAAGCACUCUUGAUUCAUUCUUGGUUUUGCAAAUCUUGGCACUAGUUUCCUAAGUAAGAAAAUAACAUUUAUAGUCAACUUUGUACCAUAAUUUUAAAUAGGGUUUCUAAUAUUACUUCCUUUUUUUUGUAAAUCUUUAUCCAUCACCCAUGCCAUCAUGCCUCUGGUUUUUAGUGUGGUCUAAAAUCUGGUUGCUGCUUUUGCACCCAACUCAUAAUGAUUCAAUCCCAUCGAUAAGAUACCAUUAUCUUAUCUAAUUUUAAUUCAAUGGUAGUUACACCAUCCAUUGUUCUUUUGUUUAAAUGUCAUAAUUGGAUGCCUUUUGUUAUACAAUAUCUCAUCUUAUUUUUUAAGAUGCUUCCUAUAUGAUUCCAUAUACUCAAUAUUAUGAGAGCCCUAAUUCCCUACUUUGGUUUUUGCAUUCCAUGCCUCCGACUAUGCCCAAUUUUAGUAACAAAAUUACUAAAGUGCAUAAAUUUAUCAUGUGGUAGUAAGAAAAGAAGGUCAAUGUUCCUAAAUAUCCUUCGAUUAGGAUCAUAGGUGUUAUGGUUCAAAUCUGGCCCGAGGGUGACCACGCCAGAGGAGUCGAAGGAGCCGCCGAGGCAUCAGGGAAGAGGGCAAGAUCCGCAACCCACGCACCAGAGUACCUGCACAAAGCCUCGCCUGUGUUUUCGGUGAGGGCCAUCCGACGAUCAAGUUAGGGAGGUAUAUAUUUGGUUUUUCUCAAGAGACAGAGAGAGGUCUCCCCUCUGGGGGUUACCUGACGGGGCUAUUUAUAGUCCCGGUGGAGAGGCCCAGGUGGCGGAGGCAUGGCCCGCCUUUAUCAUGAGGGGGGAUGGCUCUUAGCCGAAUGGCGCGCAGCUAGAGCUAGGCGGUGGCCCAAAAUGUUGUUGGCUCUCUUUUUGUAGACCUGAGAAUGACUUAAAAAGGGUGUCGUUGUCAAAAUCUUAACCAACAAACAAAUAUUUUUAUAUUACUCUUACCAUCCUCUAUUCGAUGAAUAGUGAUUAUAGGAGGUCAAUCCACGGGGAGGCGAUUGAAGCACACAAAUAGAAAACAGAAACCCCAUUAAGAUUCAUGGCAAUAUUUAUAUAUAUAUAUUAAAACAAUUUCUUGAGGAUGUUCGAUUAAUCUCUAACCAAUCAGAGCUAGUUUUUCAUUCAAAAAUAAACAAAGAAAAGAAAGAAAACUUUUGCAAAUAAAAUAAAAAUUUCUGAAUGCAUAAAAUAAACUGCAAAAAUUAAAUUGAACCUAAAACACGGAUUGCAUAAAAGAAAAUUAAUAGAUUGCAUUAAAAAAAAUAGAUUACAAAGGUAAAAAUAGGAGAUCGGAAGCCUAAUGCUUCUUUUCUUCUUAAAAAAAAUAAAAAAAAGAAAAAAAAACAAAUUGCAUUGUUUCUCACGGUGGAACUCUCUCUCUCUCUCUCUUGCUUUUCUUUUGUUUCCUCCACGAACAGAGCAUGCUUUGUUCGUGGCUUUCCUUCCCCCUUCUGGCCCAGUCGAGAACCCACCCCUCCNNNNNNNNNNNNNNNNNNNNNNNNNNNNNNNNNNNNNNNNNNNNNNNNNNNNNNNNNNNNNNNNNNNNNNNNNNCGAAGCUAGCGAUUGAUCCUGAUGUGGAAGGGCAUUGAUCGGGACGCUGAAACCUCGCGCAAGAUGGAAACGGACGAGCGUGUGAGGCUGGGAUUCGGAUGAUUUCGAAUCUGGAAGAGGAGGAUGUGGCUAGGAUGGAUCGUGGAUGGCUGGAGGAGGCUGAGACGCUGAAACGCGGCUGGAAUUGCUGGAUGCUGAGAGGAGCAGAUCCGGAAUGGAGCUGUAGACGCGUUGUGAACGUAGACGGAAGAAGAGGCCGCUAAUCCGCCUUUGUGAACGCGCUGGGAUGUUGACGCGAAAUGAUUGGACCAUGGAGAAGGUGGUCGUCCUGUCUCUGGUCCGCGGGAUUGCUCAGUCCAUGGCAUGCAUCGCAGGAUCUAGGAUAUGAAAAUGGAAGGAGCUGCAGACGGACGUCAAUUCGGAAGGAGCUGGGAUGAGGGCGUGGAUCUGGAUGAAGGGGACUCGGAACAAAAUUUUUGGGAUUCGAAAGCUAGACGUGGCUGGGCGGAAGAAGAGGGUGGACGCGAUGCAGGGAGAUCGCGAUCAAUGGGGCACGGAUGCUGGGAUGGAUCGCGGAAGGAAGAAGAGGAGUUUUGGAAUGGAUGCGGGAUCCGUGGGAUGCUGUGACUUGAUGCUUGGGCUCACACGUGAUCUCACGGGAUGAGAUAUGCAGAGACUGAUUUGGAAGGAUGCGGACGGUUGGUGGGACUUCACUGUUAGCUCCCCUACUCUAUGUCUUCAAACCGGGCUAGGUUCUGUGAUCCUUGGAUGGUUGGUGGGAAUCCAUCAGAUAUGACAGAUUCCUUCUCAGAUUUGGCAGCUCUUCGGGAGGCGAAUCAGAAAGCAGGGGAUACGGGAGACGGGCUGAUAUGCGUGGGCUGGAUGGGAAGUCGUUCGGGGGCAAAUGUGCUUGACCGGGUCAUGGUAGGAUUGGGCCUGCGCCAUCUGUACCAAAUGCGUAUUUAAACUUUAAUUUAUAAUAACCUGUGCCAAACGAAAAUAUAAUAUUAAACCAGUGAAUUUAUCAUUAUAUGUUAACAAUAAUAUUAAUUUAAGCAGUGUUUAGAUCGCACUUUUCUACUUUCAUCAAUGGCGUGCGGUACCCUCCGUUCCUAAGAAUGGUAAGGUGUUGACAGUCGUAGCAGAGCAUGGCCGAAGUAGUCACAUAGCCGUCCUUUGACUGUCGUGGACCAACUAAUGAAGCGUGGCGUAGUGGCAUUGCAAUGUACGGCCAUGUAGGAGGGCGUAGGUGCGCACAUGGUUGCAGCCGUUGGUGAAGCCGUGCACAUCGAGAGGUCGCAUCAUGCAUUCGAUGAGGUCGGCUUGAUGGGUGGUGGGGUAAGCCCAACACCUCGGAUUCCAAGGUGCGCCUAGCGGAGGGCCCCAGGCUCAAGGGUCGGGCGAGUCGGCGAAUAUAGGAGGUCGGGGGAGCUUUCGGCAGAGUUCAAGGUCGGGCUGAUUUCGGGCCGGACCGAGGACACGCCUAGUCGACGUCGGUGCUUAUUGAGCCGAAAUUGGGCGGUCCUUUUGUUGUGAGCUGGACGAUCCAUUUUGCCCCCCACUUUUGAGGUCGAGCUGCUCUGCCGCUCGAGCGAAGGAAGUAGCUGGACAGUUGGUCAUCCCAUACUUCGGUCAGGUGCUCAUAAAAGAACGCGCAUCGAGUUGGACAUACUUGGCGCACUUUAUAGCAGGGGGCUUUAAGUCAGACUUUCAAAGUCGAGUGUAGGUGGCUUAAGCUGCCAUGUCAUUCUAAGUAGGAUUUUUCAUGGAAGCUUCUCAGUGUUACAGGUCGCUAGACGGAAUGUCGGGGCGAUUGUUAAUGCCUCAUCCCCUAAAGUGCCCCGCCUGAUGGAAUGCGAGAGGCUGGCCAUUAAUGCUCCAUUCUUCGAAAUAUCUGGCCCAAUGGAAUGCAAGAGGCCAUAUACUGCGAUCCGAAAAGAUUUGCAGAGGCUUUCUCGAGGCUUGCCAUGUGGCGGAAUCCAGCUCGUCUAAUCGCUUGGGCUAUCCGAUCAGAGCCGUUGCAGCGGCCUAUAUAAGACCUGGAGAAGGCCCUAGAAUCAUUAUUCGAUCCUUUCCACCUCUAUCUCCUUUUCUCCUAGCCGCCAUUGUUGUAGUGUUCAGGUCUCUCCUUGGGCGUUCUGGAAGCUUCUUCGUCGACCUUCAGAUCAAAUGCUGUAUUCUGCCCCGACGGUCAUUCUUCUUCUUCUCCCCGAUUAUCUUCUUCGGCGAGCUUCCGGGCAGGCAUUUCAUUCCCCUUUCGGUCGCUUCGAGAGUCUCUUGUCCUCUUCCAUCUUUAUAAUUUUGUGAUGAAAGCAAUGGGUUCACCGACGAGGGCACUAAUGUUCGUGCAAGUCCGCCUCGAGCCUAGGCCUCUACUGAUGUGGAGGAGACUGGGCCCGAGGCGGGCCCGGGUCCGUGUGGGAUCGGCUCGCUAAUGUGCAACGAGGAUCUGGGCUCGGUUUGAGCCUGAUUCUUCCUAUCUCUGGAAUUCGUUCUCGAGAUUUCGGACCUCGGAGGGCGAGUCACCAACCCGCCCGGGGCUGGAUCGGAGUGUACAUAGAGACACUCCGAGCAGGGUUGAGGUUUCCUCUGCAAGGGUUCGUGGGAGAGCUCUUAACAGCUUACCGUCUGAUGCCUGCACAGCUCGCCCCGAACUCGUGGAGAAUGAUAAUGGGCUUCCUCGCUCUUUGCCUAGCACACGGCCUGUCCCCCUUAGUAAACAUCUUUUGGAGUUGCUUUAUAUUAAAAGGCAACCCCGCAGACAAAGAGUGGUGGUAUUUUUUCCCCCAAGGAGGCCACAGGCUUUUCACGGAUAUUCCUGCUUCCAUCCAUGGGUUGAAGGAUAAGUUUUUCUUUAUUUCCUCCAAGCGGUCAUGGGGGUUUGAUCCAGCCUGGAGCUUUCCGCUGGCUUCAGCGAAUAACAGGCUCCCAGAACUAUCACAGUCCGAGCAGGGGGUUUUAGACAGUUUGCUUGGACUGGAAGGAACUUCACAGCUCUCCGACCUGCUCAGUGAGGAAGCUUUAGUGAAUCUUGGCCUGAGCCCAGCUUGUCCCAAGGGUAAGAGUAGCCUAGUUGCUCAAUUUUUCUUCCCAAGCUGGGCCCUAAUAAAAUCUUAUGUCACCAGACAUCGCAGGAAUGAUCUUCAGCGUUAAGACAUUGAUGGCCACGUACAGGAAGAAGAGGGCCGCCUUGGAAGGGGUUCGACCCGAAAGGAGGCCAAAGAAGGCCAGAGCCGCCUCUGUCCCCGACGUCGAGUGGGGGGAGCUCCCCCUGCUUGAGGUCGCCGUCCGUACUCAGGCCGGAUCCAGUCGGGUCCUUGCGAUGGAGGCUGAGGUGCCCCAAUUGGCGGUAGAAAGGGGCUCUUUUGACCAAGUGGUGGUCGCACCCAUUGGCCGAGCCGAGGUGGUUGGAGAAGUUGCCCGGUUACUGGAAUCGGGUCUCGAGCCGGGAAGUGGGCAUGAGCUUCCGAUUUUCCCUGAGGGCCUGACUCAAGCUGAGGCCAUGGCCAUUCUCGGGGUUUCGACCUCGGCUGAGACUUCAGCUCCCGCCGAGGCCUUGGCCAUAGCUUUGGUUGAGCCCGUCCCCUCCAGAUCCAGAGGGGAGCAAGUGCGACAUCAGCAUCGUGCAUCCGAGGGCAGCACGACCCUUGAGUCCAACGAUGUUACUCGCGAGCUUGUGCAUAGUAUUAUGCUCCUACGCAACCGAGCUUUGAUGGAGAAGAAUUUUGACGACUUUGUUCGUCAUGCCUAUUCAGCGAGUGUGAGGACAAGUGAUGCAGUUCUCUCGUUCCUUUCUCAUUUUCCUUGCAAAUGCCUGACCUUUGUUGAUAUUUUUUUUGUACUAGUCCCUUCAUGCGGUCGACAUGCUGAUGUCUGGCAUGCUCACCGACCGGAAGGAGCUGAAGGAUCUCAGGCCAAGGGUGGAGCAAGCCGAGCUCCAGGAGCAGGAGGCCAAGGCUCGGACAGUGACUACUUUGCAACGAUAGUGAGAAGCUGAAGAGCAAGCGGCAGUCGUCGAGCAGUAGCGGCGCAGGGCUAAGGAGCGGGCGGCGGCCGUCGAGCAGCAGCGGCACAAGGUCGAGGAAAAAGCCACAAUUGCCGCGCAGCGGUUUCGAAGGGCCAGAAAGAAGGUACGGGUUGCCGAAGCCCUAACGAGGGACAAACUCGCCCAUAUUCAAGAUAUGGAAGCCGAGCAUUCCCAGGCUUGCCAUCAGCCAUAGGCUGCAUCGCCGAUCUUGAAGCCGCCCUAAUUAAAUUGCGGGGUGAAGCCGAAGAAUGGGAGUUGAAGCUUGGGCCAGCUCAAAAAUCUAGCAGAGGAGUCUGCUCGUGAGGCUGUCAGGAGAUUUUGCCAGUCGGAGGAGUACCUUGCCGAACUGGCGGAGGGGGCUACUGCCACUAUGGUUCAGGGCUUUAAUAAUUGUCGUAGUCAAGUCCAGUGGUUCUGCCCCUGGGUCGAUCUUAGCGGCCUUGAGCCGAAUCUGGACGAGGCUGUUGAAGUAGCCUGGGGCGCUGCAGAGGAUGACGACGAGGUUGGAACAGAGGUCAUCCCCGAAGUCGCUGUUGGGAUGGAAUCGGAAGCUGAGGUGCCCUAAUUGGCGGUAGAAAGGGGCUCUUCUGACCAAGUGGUGGUCGCGUCCAUUGGCCGAGCCGAGAUGGUUGGAGAAGUUGCCCAAUUACUAGAAUCGGGUCCCAAGCCGGGGAGUGGGCCUAAGCUUCUGAUUUUCCUAUGGGCCCAACUCCAACUGAGGCCAUGGCCAUUCCCGGGGUUCUGACCUCGGCUGAGACUUCAGCUCCCGCCGAGGCCCUGGCCAUGGCCAAUAUAUUUACUUCUGUUCAUUAUCUAUUGCAACUUAUACACACUUAUCAAGUUUUAUUCCGUUGUAUUUUAUAUAAAAUUUUAAAAAAACCCAAUUCAGACUCUCUUGGGCUGUAUAGCUAGGCAACACAAAAUCAAUUAGCCUUAUCCAUCUUUUUUCUUUUUUGUUUUCUUUUUUUUCUUCCUUAUAGAACUGAUGGCUAGUUCAAACCUCUUUGAUCAUGUCGAGGCCCUCUCUGAGAGUGUCUCUUGUGUGCACUAAGCCAACUCGACAUCAUAUAAAUAUGACAUCUAGCCGGUGUUUCUAUCACACUAUAUAUAUUUUUAAUCUUAGUUAUAUAUUAACCCUUGGGCUACCUUCCAAUAAUCAAGACUCAAUUUGAGAAAGGUACUCAUUCUUCAAAUAAUCGGGAUGUCCUACAUGUAAUAUAGUUUACAAGCCUAGAUGAUGUUAUUAACCAUUAUCUUAGAAAAAUAAAAUAAAUGGUAUCGAGUCAAACUCAAGUAUUUCUAUUUGGGUCAUGAAUAAUUCCUCUUUAAUUGAAGUUUGAACACUUCUCAUGAACAAUAAAAAAAAGAAGAUUGAAUUAUUUCUUUCUAGCUUGUGGUUGUUAGAAGUAUGCCCUAGAAACCAAUUGGCAGACGCAUUGUAAUUAUACUAGGAUAUAAAUUUGUACGUAACCUUUUUAUUAAUUAAUAAAAUUGGGCUUUUUAUUCAUUCAUGUUAUUAUAUAUCCAUAAAUCAUCCUAUGAAUUAAUAAGAUAAUAACACAUAUUCUCAAAAGUUGAGAAUUUAAGACAUAUGUCAUUAGAUAGUUAAUUCCUGAUUUGCUUCUGAUCAAUGGAUCAUCACGAAGGACGGUGACCGAUUCGAUGAGAUUAGUACAUAGAUCACUUUUCUUGAUGGACGAGUCUUAAAUCCACAGUGUGGGGAUACUUGAGUGAUUGUGCAAGUGCUUGUUAGAGAACAAGGGUGCUGAGCGUGACCAAAGCAAGAAGUCACUUGAAUGUCUAUCCACUCGUCAGUGACUUACUUGAUGAUGCAGUUGUAUGACUAGUACUUAGACCUGCGAUGCCUCAGCUAAUCAUGGUGAGAUUGCUGUAGUUUGACGAGCAUAUAAAUAUGGGCCCUAAGGGUUCUUGUGGUGCAGAUUGGCUACAGUAGUUUUGCUGUCGGAUUAAGGUUGCAUCUAGAUGGGAUAUAUCGACCUUGAUAGAUUAGAAGUGAUCCUAUGUGAUUUAUGAGACUAAGUUUGAAAGACCUUGGUCAGGGCAGUUUUGGAAAAAGAGUUUUCUAAUCUCGAACUUGAGUUAAAUAAAUUUGACACAAGACAGACGAUGGAGUUUGACGAGUUAUCCAUAACCUCCAUCAUUUUGGAAUCCAUGAUAGAGGUGUUGUAUCAUACGUUAACUGCAUUUAGAGGUUUAUCCAUUUUCUUCUGCUGGGUUGCCACGAUAUGCUACUAGGUGUCACUAGUGGAUUGUGAGACUCAAAGGCAUUCACUUGGUGAUCAGUAAACCCUAAGAGAAGAGUUGAAAUUGUUUCAACCCAUUGAAAGAAGUUUCAAUGAUAUUAUGAUAGAGAUCAUAAUAUAUCUCACUACCAAAUAGAAUAGAACCUACGGGGUCACACACAUUAGAGAUUUUGAUCGUUUCGAUGGUUGGAUUGCAAUUUAGAAUCGCAAUUGAUCUUGAUUGUCAAUUUGAUUGACAAUUAGUUUAAUCCACUAAGAGUUAGUGAGUUAAAGAAGAAGGAAUUGCAAUUAGAUUGCAAUUUAAUUGAUUCAAUUGGAUCUAAUUAAAUUAGGCUGAACCUUAUUGAAUAAGGAUGGGAAGGUCUAAUUAAUUAGAACUCCUUAUUAGAUAAGGAACUUAAUUCAUGAAGUCCAAUUUGGAUCCUAAUUGGAUUAGGAUUCACAUGAAUCAAUUUGGAGGACACAUUGGAUCCUAAUUGGAUUAGGAUUCAAUUGAUCAAGUAGGACCAUGCAAUUUCUAAUUGGAUUAGGAGAUCCAUGCAUGGAAGGAAGGGAAAGAUUCCUUCCUUUAUGCAUGUGAGGCAAAGAAGGAAAGAGGGAGGGGCAUCUGCCCUCCUCCUUCUCACACGCCCAAAGGAAGGAGGGGCGUCCGCCCCUCCUUUCCUUUCUGGUCCACACAGCAAGAGGAGGGGCGGAUGCCCCUCCUCCUCCAUCCGCCCCUCCUCCUCCCUCUUGUUCAUGCGGAUUGCCACAUGGCGGAAGCACAUCCCUUAGAUUCUCUCUAAUCUCUUUUAAGUAAGAGGUAUGGUAAAAUUUGGAGGGAUGAAUCAAGGAGUGAUUUUUCAUUGAGAUUAUUCCUGAUUUGUAUGGGGCAUGAGAUAUCUAUAAAAGAGGACCAGGCAUGAGGUAUAGAAGAGUAUUGGAGUCCCUAGAAUCAGCCGCCCAUCCCCUUCCUCCUCCUUCUUCCUGGCGUAAGUAAGAAAGAGAGCUGCGCCCUCUUCUUCUUCUUCCUCCUUCUUCUUCCUCUCAAAGCAGUCAAAGGGUUGAUUAAAGAGAGAGAAAAUCAACCAUCAAAGAUGAUAUCUGCAUGAGAGCUAUUACCCCAGUGAGAUCUUAGAACAAUCUGUACCUCGUAUGGAUACUUGUAGAGGCCGGACACUUGUGCGGCUUCAAGCAAACCAAAUCCAACGAUAAUCAGAUAGCGGUGAAGUUCUACCUGCUAAAAGGUAAAGAUUAGAUCUUUAUAAAUCCUUUACAAUUAAGAAUUAUAGUAGAUCUGAAAAUUAAUCUAGUCUUUAAUUUUAAUCUUGCCUUUAGAUUUCAUAAAUAUGAGUUAGAGAACUCAACAAAAUUUUUGAAAUCUACGUUUCUUAGGACGUUCAUGAGAUGAACGACCCCAUGCGUGUCUUUCCGCUGCAAUCGUCGCAACGCGUGCGGGGUAACCCGACAGUGGUAUCAGAGCCGCGUUUAAGAGAUUAUGAUUAAAAUUGAUAGGCUUGAUUAUGAUUAAAUUAGAUCUGAAUUUAAAGUAUAUUUGCUGAACUUUCUGCGUGCUGAAAUUUCAGAUUUCAGCAUGCAGAUUUUUAUUUUCUUUCUCAAUCUUCCAUGCUAUUUUUAAUUAACAAUGAGAUUACAAUAAUUGAAAACAUGUUUUGCAUGAUCACAAUUUCAGUUGAUAGCAUAUUUAGUUAAAAUUUUCAGAUCUGAAAUUGUAUGCAUAAGAUGCAUGUGAUAAGAUUCAAUCGAAGAUUUAUGAUCAUAAGAAGAUAAUUUUCUAUUUAUGACUAUGCUUAAAAAGAAAUUGAUAUAUGCAUGAGAUGCAUAAGAUAUGAUCAAAUCAUGGAUUCAUGUUCAUUAAAGGAUAAUUUUGUUUAGGCUAAUGCUUAAAAGAAAAUUGAUAUAUGCAUGAGAUGUAUAUAUAUGUUAAGCAAUCUUUACAUGAAAUGUAAAUAAAAAUUCAAAUAGGUUAGGUCAUUUACAUAAGAUGUAAACCUAAACUAAUAUGUCAUUUACAUAAGAUGUAAACACAUAACAUAUGAAAGGGUUUCAUAUUUACAUAGGGUGUAAACCUAAAUAAAUAUGUCAUUUACAUAGGAUGUAAACGCAUAACAUAUGAAAGAAGUUUCAUAUUUACAUAAGAUGUAAACCAUAAUCGAGACCUAAAACCUCCUCAAUCAAUCGAGAGUAAAUGAUACAUUGACCUAGUCAUAUUUGAUUAAUUGAUCUAAUUGGUGUCUAGAAAAGCGUUAAAGAUGGUUACUUAAUUAGGAUCUUACUCUCUAAGUAAGGAAAGCCUUCCACUUGCUUACCUAGCCAAUUGAUCGAUUACCUCCUAUGAAUAGCUCAAAGUUAGAAUCACUAAGACCAGAUUACUUAAUAUUAAAUCUAGAGGUCUUCCACCAUAGCAGAGUUGCUAAGAUCUUUCCAACAUUAAUUUGUCUCGGCUGAAAACAAUAGGAAAAUUGCAUCGGAGGACUGAACCUCUCUAUUGGCAUAAGAUGUUGUGGGGUAAAAGUGAGGUUGGGGACCAAUAACUGUUAGGUGAGUGUUCGUCGGCUUUCUUUUAGACCUGAGAAUGACUUAAAAAGGAUGUCGUUGUCAAAGUCUUAACCAACAAAUAAAUAUUUUUUUUUAACUCUUACCAUCCUUUAUUCGAUGAAUAGUGGUUGUAGGAGGUCGAUCCAUAGGGAGACGAUUGGAGCACACAAAUAAAGACUAGAAAUUUCAUUAAGAUUUAUCGAAAUAUUUAUAUUUUUUUUAAAAUUUUUUUAAGGAUAUUUGAUUCAUCUCUAACCAACUAGAGCUAGUUUUCUAUUCAAAAAUAAAUAAAGGAAAGAAAGAAAAUUUUGUAAUUGAAAUCUAAUGCAGAGCAGCGGUCAAACAGCAAAGAAAAACAUUUAAAUAAGAUUUUCAGUACACAUAAAAUAAAUUGCAGAAAUUAAACUGAAAUUUAGAACAUAGAUUGCAUAAAAAUAAAUUUAUGGAUUGCAUAAAAGGACAAGUGUUUACAAAAGUAAAAAAAAGAAAAACAAGGAACAAGUAAUCCUCUCGGUGGAACACUCAAAAUAAAAUAAUAUAUAUAUUUUUUUUCUCUUUUUUUUUCUUUCUUCUUCUCGAAAAAUAGAGCUCCCCUGUUUUUCCUAUUUCUUGGCCCCAUCCGAGCGCUCCUCCCUCUCCCCUUUGGCCCAGCCGACCCCUUUCCUCCUCUGCUCUUCCUCCUUUUAUAGAUCCCCACCAAAGAUCAACCAGCAAUGGAUCCCUAGAUUUCAUGUGGAGAGGAAGGGGAACGCAUGCGUGAUCGUUGGGGCGGAAUGCAUGCAAACGGCUGGAUCAAGGGAGCUGGCUGCAGGAUCGCUUGGAGGAAGACGUGAAUCCAGCGCGGAGGAUCGCUUGGAUCAUGGGCUAGAGUGGGUCCUUAAUUGCAGACGUUGGUGAAUGCGGACGGAAGAAGAGGCGGAGGCGGGGUCAUCCGGGAUUUGGGAAUCUCGAAUCCGGAGGAGACGCGGACGGCCGGAAUCACCGGAAGCUUCGUGGAUGCCGGAAUGGAAGCGGGAGGCUGGGAGGAGGACGUGGAUCCGCCGUGGAGGAUGGCUUCUUGAUGGCGAGAAACGAAAGAGGAUGGCUGCAAUGGGGGGGGCUGAUUUGGAAGCUUGGAUGCGGUGAGAUGCUAGGGUCACGCGUGAGAUGAAUCAGGAAGCGGGGGACACGGGAUGCUGCUGUGAACCUUUCGUCCUUUGGAUCUUUUUGGCUUGAUGAAUCCAAGCCCCUUGGACCAUCCAUUGCGCAUUGCCUUCGGAUGACUGCCAUGUGCCCCUCGAGUGCAAGUGUACUUGAUGAAUGGUGGGUUUGACCACACCAUGGCGAAGUUGAGCGUGCACGGCCUGGGUUAUGCAUCUUUCUAGACCCAAUCUAUACUAAAUGCGCAUUUAAACUUUAAUUUAUAAUAAUCUAUGCCAAACAAAAAUAUAAUAUUAAACCAGUGAAUUUAUUAUUAUCAGUCAGCAAUAACACUAAUUUAGUUGAUAUGUAGAUCGCACUUUUAUACUCUCAUCAGUGAGGAUCCACAACUUUACUUCUGCGGAAAUUAUGGUGAGUCUGACUUAACCAAGGAACGGGACCAAUAACUAUUAGGUGAGGCCCUUAUAACUUGGAGACCAAGUAGGCUAUAAUUUGCUUAAGAAGCAUUGUACAAAGAGUUGUACACUCAUCGUUUAUGUAUCACCAAUAACUGUUAGGUGAGGUGGCAUGUAAAUUGAUGGAACCGUAGCACCUCCACUUAAAAUCUAGAGUCGCAGGUUUCCGUUUCUCUACUAAAGGAGUGUAGAAGAUUCGAGAAAAUAGUGAGAGAUGUUUGUUUUAAAAGUUCCUAAAAUAAAUAAAAAUUUAAAUUCAAGUACAAAAUUCUAACUAGAAUCUUUACUUUUUGUAGAUAAAAAUGUCAGCCUCUAAUCCCUUGACCCGUAUCCUUGAAAACAACCGAUUGACCAGACCCAAUUAUAAGGAUUGGCACCGCAACUUGAAAAUUGUUUUAAGUUGUGAGAAAUUAGGGUAUGUACUAGACCAUGACACCCCGGUAUUACCAGCCCAUCCGACUGCUGAACAGCGUGAGACGCAUGCUACGUGGACGGACGAUGACAAUAACGUUAGGUGCUAUAUUUUGUCAUCCAUGUCCAAUGAACUACAAUGCCAGCAUGAAAACAUGAAGACUGCCGGGACAUAUUGAUUCACGUACAAGAGUUGUAUGGUGAACAGAGUCGCACAGCUCGAUUUAAAGUAUCCAAGAGGCUCUUCAAAACCAAGAUGCAUGAAGGGCAGUCCAUUCAUAAUCAUGGUCUGACCAUGAUAAAGGACUUGGAGGAGCUUGAGAAGCUCGGCAUGAACAUGCACAGGAAAUUAAAAACCAAUUUGAUCCUGCAAUUCACUGUUGGAAAUUGUGUCCCAAAGCCAAUUUUUAAUUGUAAGAAAUUGGAUUAUGUAUAUGUUUUAUUAAAAUGAAUAAAAAUUUAUUCUGACAAUUUUUUAUUCAUCACAAGUGUUACAUCUUCAAAUUGAACUCCUGUGUAUUGUGAUAAANNNNNNNNNNNNNNNNNNNNNNNNNNNNNNNNNNNNNNNNNNNNNNNNNNNNNNNNNNNNNNNNNNNNNNNNNNNNNNNNNNNNNNNNNNNNNNNNNNNNNNNNNNNNNNNNNNNNNNNNNNNNNNNNNNNNNNNNNNNNNNNNNNNNNNNNNNNNNNNNNNNNNNNNNNCAUACAGGUAAGAUGUAGGAGUACAUCGUCACUGAAUAGUGACUCACCUGCGUAGCACUCCACUGUCGGGAGUUAGCUCGUAAAACGUAUGGGCAUAAGUACCCCUUAGACCUGAGACUGUCACGGUGACUUGCAAGCAACUCACUAUACUUAGGCACUGGAUGACCUGAAUUUCUAAUUCAGGGAUCAGAAGGAUGCUGGGUGCAGUCAAGUACUCGCGAAGUCUGUGUAUGAGUCAAGAUGGGAUUGACCACUUCAGAUUUUAGGAGUUGAUGUCUUACUGUAUUUCAAUUCAGUAAAACCUUGGCCAGGGUAAACCAAGUGAUAAGUCACUUGAUUUGAUUAAUUGAAAUACACUAUGAAUGACCGGACCCAGAGUUCGACAGUCCACUCUGAGGUCAUCUUGAGCAUCGAAGGUCAUAGGGAUGAAUUAUACAACAACCAUACGUCUAGGUUCUUGAAUGUUGCUUUGUAUAUUUGACCUAUCCGGACGUCGGGUAUCAUUGCUAGAUGGUCACCUCGAUUAGUGCAUGGAGUAGUCCAUGUACUACCGGCUUAGUGUUCGAACCUAUCGGAGUCACGCACAUUAGUCAAGCUAAGUAGGAAGGUCUUGACCCAAUCUAAUUAAGAAUUAAAUUAUGGGUCAUUUGGAAUUUGGCUCUAUCUAUGUUCAGCUAGCACUGAACAUGAGGUACAUGCUAAAUUUCAUGGAUGAACAACUAAUUAAGUCUGUAUUUCGGGUCAAUCAAGUUUUAAUUAAUAUAAUUGAACUUGAUCAGGACUCAAUUGUUGAGAUUGAAUUUGAUUGGGUCUAAAUUAGUGUAAUUGGGCUCGAUCAUGAUUUAAUUGGGAUUUAAUUUCGUAUUUGUUCUGAUCUAAGUCGGACUUGGAUCAAGCCGAAACUAGACCCAAUUGAAUCUCCUAUGAGUCAGACUCAUGUGGAAUUUUUUCAGGUCAAAAAUUCAUUCAAAUGGGCUGCAAAGUUGGUUUAGAACCAAAUUGACUAACUUAUGAUCAAAUGGGCUAACCCAUUUGUAUCACAAGUUGACUUUUCCCAUUUAGAGUGGUUGCUGACCGUGAAUAAAUCCCAUGGACCCGUGGACCACUCCCUUCACAUGGACCCUUAGCACCUUUUUUUGUGAGCCGCGACUCACCUGGGACGCACGCGUCCGCAACCCUUCCGACCGUCGAUUGCGCGGCCAACCGGCCUCCGGCCAGACGGCCGACUGGACCGGAAUGUGCGAUUUUGAACCGCCAACAUUCCAGUCCAGUUUGAUUUUUGAAAUCCAGCAAUAAUUGACAUUAAUCACUGUUUUAUUCCCCUGUUGUUUUUGAAACAAUCGUUAUCAAAUUCAUUCAUAUUUGAUAAUGAAUGAAUUCAAUAACGCUAGACCAUUUACGCCUCUUAACUCCUCUCAGCGUUGGCCUAUUUGUAGGCCACCGUUUCCUCUCGAAUGCAGUGAGAGGGAAAAUUUUCUUGGGAAGAAAACGUGAGACAGAGAGAUCGGUUUAUUCUGUGAAGAAGAAGAAGAGUGAGGAAGGAGUUCCUCUCUCUCUCUGGUGGUUUGGAGUUCGGCCCAGGUCCGGCGUCCUCUCCUCCCUUCCAUUCCUCUGUGAUCAGGAUCAAGAGACGGGUGUCUCUUCGGCCUAGGCGUGCUGUGAACAAACGGGAGAAAGAAACCGAAGAAAGAAAGAAAGAGAAGAAAGAAAGAAAUAGGAAGGUCCUUUUUCUAGUUUUCCUUUCUUCCAAGGGUCCUUUUGCAAAAGAUUGUUUUGCACGAGUAAAGACAUCAUCUAACCUUCUUGCGAAGCUUGACGUGCGUGCGAAGUAGAGGACUUGCAGAUCCAGGCCUUGCAGAGCUACCUUCAGGGAUCUAGAUUCAGAUCCAGAUUCAAAUUACCUCGACCAACUUCCGCUACGAGCUUGAGGUAAUUUUACAUAAAAGUUAAAUUUAAUAUUUAUAAUUGUUAUAAAUAAAUAAAAAAUUUUAAAACUGAUUUUUCAUGCCUGGCGUUCGAUUUUAUCGGACAACUCGAGAAAUGUUUCCUUCAAUUAGUGCAAUGCUUUUAUGAUGGAUUGUCUGAUCGAAACCGUCAGAUGGUUGAUGCUUCUUGUGGGGGAACUUUCAUGCUUAAAAAUGAGCAUGAAGCAUGAGAAUUAUUUGAAAAUCUCAACGAAAACUCCCUCCACCAUGCUUCCUGUUCCAUCAAGCACCCCCGAGUUCUCAAAGAAAAGGGACUAUUUGUGAAAUAAGUCAUUCUAUGGACCUGUCUAGCAAGGUAGAUGCAUUGUCCCAUAAGAUUGACCUACUGAUGAUGGGAGGACAUGUCGUUAACUCUUCCCAAGCACAAGUGUGUGCUAUCUGUUCUAGCCCAUCUCACCCUAUUCAUGAGUGCCCCUCAGCAUCCCAAUUCUCCGAACUCGUGCAAGAACACAUCAAUGCUGCUCAAACACAGCCCAGACCAGGUAAUGACCCAUUUUUCAAUACAUAUAACCCGGGAUGGCGCAACCAUCCAAACUUUUUUUGGAAGCAGCAAGCUUCGAAUACUGCCCAACCCUACUUCCAAAAUUUUCAAAACCCUCAGAAUUUUCAAACCCCACAAAAUAUUCAUCCCUACCGUCCUUCGACUCAAUUUCAACACACUACUCCUCCACCCCAUAGAAACACAGCCUUUGAGGAGAAAGUGUUGACCUCCCUUCAAGGUUUGGAAACUAUUAUACAAUUGGUGCACUCUCACACGCAAUCUAUCGCCAAGCUAGAAUCCCAAAUGGGGCAACUAGCUAAUGCACUGAACAAGCGAGAGGAAGGAAAGCUUCCAAGCCAACCAGUGAGUAAUCCUAGGGGACAAUACAUGGCUCAAGAAAAUCAACUAAAUACAAUUCAUCAUGAACAAGCCAAUGCUUUGACUACCCUAAGGAGUGGACGUAUAGUAGACAAUAGGAUUGGGGAGGAUAACAAUAAGAAAGGUGACGAAGAGGAUAAGAAUGUGUCAAAAGAAAAUCUAAAACCUUCUUCUUUUUCUUCCGCUAGUCCACCUUCUGCCAAAACUCACAUUCCAAAAGUCCCAUUUCCUGACGCUCUUAAUUCAUCCUCUCCCUUUGGCAAAAAGAAAACUUCUCUAGAGGAGAUGAUGGAGGUUUUUAAACAAGUCAAAAUCAACCUCCCGCUUCUUGAUGCUAUUAGACAAGUUCCCUCCUAUGCCAAAUUUUUCAAAGACCUUUGUACCCAAAAACGAAAAUCUAGAACGCAUGUGCCUAAAAAGGUCUUCCUAACUGAGCAAGUGAGUUCUAUUCUCCAACACAACACCCCUCCGAAAUUCAAAUAUCCUGGUGCUCCCACCAUCUCCUAUGUCUUAGGAAAUAAUUUUAUUGAUCGAGCACUCUUAGAUCUAGGGGCAAGUGUCAACCUUUUACCUUACUCAGUUUAUGAGAAACUUGGGUUAGGUGAGUUAAAACCAACCUCGGUAUCCCUUCAAUUGGCUGAUCGAUCUGUAAAAACACCACGUGGGAUAAUUGAAGAUGUUCUUGUCAAGGUAGACAAAUUCUAUUUUCCAGUAGAUUUUAUCGUCCUUGAUAUGAAAUAUGAGCCUAAUCCUAAGAAACAAAUCAAUUAGUCGUUGACCCCUAGGGACAUUCGAGCUCAAUAGGAUGAAGAUCACCGAAAGUUGCACCAAUUUCGCUCUGUGGCUCAGUUGAUGUCUAGGCAAGCUUUGUCCCUAUAAGGGAGAUAGUUCAUCUGUUCGAGGUAAGUGGUUUUUAAGUGGGACCUUUGCAACGCAUCGUGACCCCCCUACUUACCUGGGAACUUACCUGGUCAACUCAGUCAUUAGACCGGAUUGGAGGCUUAGGUGCCCUCUUCAAACCAGUUAGGAGCUGUCUAGUGAUUUUAGGGCAAACAUAAGGAAUUGAUGUGUUUUUCUUUUAAUGCAUGCUUGACUGCACUUGACUGAUUAGAAAAGCAUUAGUGUAUGCUAGGGUGUCGUUCCAGAUCUUCUGAAUUAGUACCUUUUGAUUCUGAAAUAGAGUGUUCUAUUAGGGCCCUUCGAGCUGAAAUCCACACCUAUAGAACCAUAGGAUCUACACCACUUGUCGAGAUGGCUGAAGAGCAACCCAAACUGCUAAAGGAGUACUUCACUCCUUCCAUUUAUAC